GAUGAACGCUGGCGGCGUGCUUAACACAUGCAAGUCGAACGGUGAACACGGAGCUUGCUCUGUGGGAUCAGUGGCGAACGGGUGAGUAACACGUGAGCAACCUGCCCCUGACUCUGGGAUAAGCGCUGGAAACGGCGUCUAAUACUGGAUAUGUGACGUGACCGCAUGGUCUACGUUUGGAAAGAUUUUUCGGUUGGGGAUGGGCUCGCGGCCUAUCAGCUUGUUGGUGAGGUAAUGGUUCACCAAGGCGUCGACGGGUAGCCGGCCUGCGAGGGUGACCGGCCACACUGGGAUUGAGACACGGCCCAGACUCCUACGGGAGGCAGCAGUGGGAAAUAGUGCACAAUGGGCGAAAGCCUGAUGCAGCAACGCCGCGUGAGGGAUGACGGCCUUCGGGUUGUAAACCUUUUUUAGCAGGGAAGAAGCGAAAGUGACGGUACCUGCAGAAAAAGCGCCGGCUAACUACGUG
rnacentral:rRNA from 1 species